rnacentral:rRNA from 1 species
UACGAAGGAUGCAAGCGUUAUCCGGAUUUAUUGGGUUUAAAGGGAGCGUAGGCGGCUUUAUAAGUCAGUGGUGAAAUCUUGUCGCUUAACGACAAACGUGCCAUUGAUACUGUAGAGCUUGAGUACAGUUGCCGUUGGCGGAAUGUGUCAUGUAGCGGUGAAAUGCAUAGAUAUGACACAGAACACCGAUUGCGAAGGCAGCUGACGAAACUGUAACUGACGCUGAGGCUCGAAAGCGUGGGGAU